rnacentral:rRNA from 1 species
UACGGGGGGGGCAAGCGUUGUUCGGAAUUACUGGGCGUAAAGGGCUCGUAGGUGGCCAACUAAGUCAGACGUGAAAUCCCCCGGCUUAACCUGGGAACUGCGUCUGAUACUGGACGGCUUGAGUAUGGGAGAGGGAUGUAGAAUUCCAGGUGUAGCGGUGAAAUGCGUAGAUAUCUGGAGGAAUACCGGUGGCGAAGGCGGCAUCCUGGAUCAUUACUGACGCUGAGGCGCGAAAGCGUGGGGAGCAAACAGG